rnacentral:rRNA from 1 species
AUUCCAGCUCCAAUAGCGUAUAUUAAAGUUGUUGCGGUUAAAAAGCUCGUAGUUGGAUUUCUGCUGAGGAUGACCGGUCCGCCCUCUGGGUGAGUAUCUGGCUCAGCCUUGGCAUCUUCCUGAAGAACGUAUCUGCACUUGACUGUGUGGUGCGGUAUUUAGGACAUUUACUUUGAGGAAAUUAGAGUGUUUCAAGCAAGCGCACGCCUUGAAUACAUUAGCAUGGAAUAAUAAGAUAGGACUAUGGUACUAUUUUGUUGGUUUGUGCACCAUGGUAAUGAUUAAUAGGGACAGUUGGGGGUAUUCGUAUUCCAUUGUCAGAGGUGAAAUUCUUGGAUUUAUGGAAGACGAACUACUGCGAAAGCAUUUACCAAGGAUGUUUUCAUUG